AUUGAACGCUGGCGGCAUGCCUUACACAUGCAAGUCGAACGGCAGCACGGGUGCUUGCACCUGGUGGCGAGUGGCGAACGGGUGAGUAAUACAUCGGAACAUGUCCUGUAGUGGGGGAUAGCCCGGCGAAAGCCGGAUUAAUACCGCAUACGAUCCACGGAUGAAAGCGGGGGACCUUCGGGCCUCGCGCUAUAGGGUUGGCCGAUGGCUGAUUAGCUCGUUGGUGGGGUAAAGGCCUACCAAGGCGACGAUCAGUAGCUGGUCUGAGAGGACGACAAGCCACACUGGGACUGAGACACGGCCCAGACUCCUACGGGAGGCAGCAGUGGGGAAUUUUGGACAAUGGGCGAAAGCCUGAUCCAGCAAUGCCGCGUGUGUGAAGAAGGCCUUCGGGUUGUAAAGCACUUUUGUCCGGAAAGAAAUCCUUGACUCUAAUACAGUCGGGGGAUGACGGUACCGGAAGAAUAAGCACCGGCUAACUACGUG
rnacentral:rRNA from 1 species